GUCAGGAUGGCCGAGCGGUCAAAGGCGCCAGACUCAAGAUCCGAAUGGAGGCGUGGGUUCGAAUCCCACUUCUGACA